rnacentral:rRNA from 1 species
UUAAGUCAGAUGUGAAAGCCCGGGGCUCAACCUCGGAACCGCAUUUGAAACUGGCAGGCUAGAGUCUUGUAGAGGGGGGUAGAAUUUCAGGCGUAGCGGUGAAAUGCGUAGAGAUCUGAAGGAAUACCAGUGGCGAAGGCGGCCCCCUGGACAAAGACUGACGCUCAGAUGCGAAAGCGUGGGUAGCAAACAGGAUUAGAUACCCUGGUAGUCCACGCCGUAAACGCUGUCUACUUGGAGGUUGAGGUUUAAGACUUUGGCUUUCGGCGCUAACGCAUUAAGUAGACCGCCUGGGGAGUACGGCCGCAAGGUUAAAACUCAAAUGAAUUGACGGGGGCCCGCACAAGCGGUGGAGCAUGUGGUUUAAUUCGAUGCAACGCGAAGAACCUUACCUACUCUUGACAUCCAGCGAAGCCUUUAGAGAUAGAGGCGUGCCUUCGGGAGCGCUGAGACAGGUGCUGCAUGGCUGUCGUCAGCUCGUGUUGUGAAAUGUUGGGUUAAGUCCCGCAACGAGCGCAACCCUUAUCCUUGUUUGCCAGCACGUAAUGGUGGGAACUCCAGGGAGACUGCCGGUGAUAAACCGGAGGAAGGUGGGGACGACGUCAAGUCAUCAUGGCCCUUACGAGUAGGGCUACACACGUGCUACAAUGGCAGAUACAGAGGGCAGCGAAGCUGCGAAGUGGAGCGAAUCCCUUAAAGUUUGUCGUAGUCCGGAUUGGAGUCUGCAACUCGACUCC